AUUGAACGCUGGCGGAAUGCUUUACACAUGCAAGUCGAACGGCAGCACGGGUGCUUGCACCUGGUGGCGAGUGGCGAACGGGUGAGUAAUACAUCGGAACGUACCCAGUCGUGGGGGAUAACUAACCGAAAGGUUAGCUAAUACCGCAUACGCCCUGCGGGGGAACGCGGGGGACCGUAAGGCCUCGCGCGAUUGGAGCGGCCGAUGUCUGAUUAGCUAGUUGGUGAGGUAAAGGCUCAACAAGGCGACGAUCAGUAGCUGGUCUGAGAGGAUGAUCAGCCACACUGGUACUGUAACACGGUCCAGACUCCUACGGGAGGCAGCAGUGGGGAAUUUUGGACAAUGGGGGAAACCCUGAUCCAGCCAUUCCGCGUGAGUGAAGAAGGCCUUCGGGUUGUAAAGCUCUUUCGGCAGGGAAGAAACGCUCUGGGUUAAUAACCCGGGGUAAUGACGGUACCUGAAGAAGAAGCACCGGCUAACUACGUGCCAGCCGCCGCAGUAA
rnacentral:rRNA from 1 species